GAGUGGCGGGUAGGGGAGGGCUUUAGCAAUGCGACUGCAGCCUGUGACACUGGAAGAGACUAGCUGGAGAGGAGGGGAUGUGCUGUGUGUGCGCGUGCUCACAGGACGUAACCUCACCUGCUUACCCUUGAUUCCCCCCCAUUUGACCCAGGUUAAAAAGGGGUUUCCUUUUUGUUACCCUGUAACUUUUUAAGAUACCUUGGGGCUAGAGAUGACUUUGUGGGUUUAUUUGGGUUUUGUUUCUGAAAUUUCGUUGCUCCAGAUUCGCUAUUUAUAACGAUGUAUGUCAUCACCCUAUCCACCCUCCCCAUCCCUGACCUGCUCUCACUUCCCUUCGAUUAGAGAAGCACCCAUAGACCCAGCGAAGGGUCCUCUCAGAGCAAAGCGCUCUGGUGCCACAGGAGAGGAGGUUAGACGCCUCUGCCCUCCCUGCUGCAUUUGAUCUUGUCGAGGUUAACUUUUAACUUCAUGGAGUAUUGUGCACAGCUUCCUCCACUUUUUCAGCCUCAGCUCCAAGUGAAAUGUUACAUGAUUCCUCCAUCUAAGUGCUGUUCUUCCCGAAGGAACACUCCAGAUCAACAUCAGGCAUCUUGGAUCAGAAUCAAAGAUCUCAGAGGGGAGUGAGUUCAUCCUCAUGGGAUGGUAAGGGGUCGGGGGCUGCUGGGCUCUUGGACAGCUGGUUCUCAGAGAACCCCAUGAUCACCACCCAAGCUCCUGGGCUCUCUCGGCCCCUGGAGUUCAGAUGUCUUCUCUGUAAAGCCUCCCACUGAGUCAAGAGGAACUAGAAAGCACCUUUGGCUAUAACAGGACCCUCGUGCUUAUUAAACGGUUAUUUCCCCUUGGGAAAGCCCAGCAAAGCUGAUGAGUAUCGAAUGAGGUCCUAUGCCCUCCAUCCAUUUACUUCCUUCUGACCUUCUCCCAGGCACUCUCAUUUGUAGGUGAGCUUUUAGUUGGGGGCAGAUCUCCAUGUGCCUGGGGUGCUCCUUGCAGAGAUACCUCUUCAACCCCCAGGGCUGCCAUGUAGGUAAUCUGACUCCCUGUGGUUUGUCACCUGGAUGGUUGUGGCCAGCAGGGAGUGGUGCCCCCCACCUUGGAGCGUGGCACCCAAGCCUGAGGUUGCUUCUGAGCCACUUGAGGAUCUGACCUGGGAAAUCCAAUUUGGAGGCUUGAUGUGCGAUUCAACCUGGCCCCAACCUUGGAUCUGGUUUUCCUCGAUGGCCCCCCAGACUUUUCGCAGAUCUGCCACCCGCAAGCCUCCUCAGGAGUGGCAUCCUGCAGCUUCCUUCAGGAUCUCUACCCACCUUCUGAGCCGGCUACCUAAGCCUCAGAAUUGUGUCCUUCUGCGAUGCCGUCAGAGCAGUCUGGUCUGGCUAGGAGAGAAGACAGCCCUGUGUUGGGGGAGGUACAUUCCUGCGUCUUCUCACCAUCUCACCAGGAACUGGGGUCUUGGGAUGAGACACGGUAAAACCUGUAGAUAACUCCGCAAAUGGAAGGAAAGUGUGUGGAACCAUUUUGAAUGAAUGGAUUGGUUUCCUUGGCUCCCUGCAAACCUGGCCAAGCUCAGCUUCUGGAGCAGGAACAAGCACCAUCUCUGUGCCCAACCCACGGUAUUUAGGUCAGGGAGGAAUGGAGACCGCAUUCUUGGACUCUACUGGGGCUGUUGGAACCCUUCUGGAAGAGGCAGACAGGGGCCAAACAACUGCCCUGGCCCCAGGAAGGGGCUGUAGGUAGCUCUGAACGUCAGCAGCAAGACCGCGAAGUGACCGGAAGAACUUGGAACCAAGUGGCUCGUGGAGAAAACAAAUUUGACUUAGGAAGGGAUUAGUAGGAAUAAUGUUUGGACUUGAUUUCCCCACCUCCUAAUCAAGAAUGAAAAUUUGGAUCUGCUCCUAGGCGAGCCCAGCAUCUCCCAAGCUUUUCAGGCUGUCCUCUUGCAGCCUCCACAACCUUGGGCUCCCUCGGCUUCCUGCAUUUGGUCUGCUGAUCAUGUCGCCAUCAUGUGUACGAAAAGUGUAACCAGUUGUGUUCAGCUGAAGGUUGGGAGAGAAGAAAUUUCAGCAAUCCCCAGCAUUUGAGCUACUCAAGUGUUAGGGGCCAGAAGGGACAGUGUGUUUAAAACAACCCUUAGGAAGCUCUGGCCUUAGACCUGUGGCUCCCCCAGUACCAGAGACCUCACUUUUUUCUGGCAGAAAUGUGGGGAGGAGGCUCCAGCCUGAGCACAGGAAUCAAAGGGAAAACAUUGAAACUGCCCCCAAAUCUACCAGCCAUCUGCAGGCGGCUUUGUGACACAGCCCUGGCCUUCUUCUGAAACGUGCCACUUAUGAAGAGUGUCUCCAGAGGGACGAGGAGAAUCGGCUGUCCCCGGCGGGCAAUCCUUUGGAGGCUGGGGAGGAAACUUCCAGAGGAGCCCCUUCCCCUUACUCAGAGCCAUUUUGGGAGGAAGUGGGAACCAACAACCUUUGGGGGAAGGCCUGGUGCGGCUCAGCACACCCAAGCAUCAGGUCGGGUCAUUGUAAUAAAAAAAUGUGAAUGAAGUUUAGAUUCAGCUUUUGGGGGAGCAGGAUAAACGACCACCCCACCAUAUGUGUGUGACUUCUCAAUUUCCCACUGCAAUUUCCAUUUUUUUUAAAUAGGAAUUUUCAACCCCCUGUGCUUGUCUAAUGUCUGCUCGGAACAGUUCGAGACCCUGUUACUGUUUUAAGAUGCAUGCAUGUUAAGGUGAAUCUCCAACCCGAGGAAAAAAAUAAAAUUCAAAAACGGUUUGUGUACA